UACGUAGGGUGCAGGCGUUAAUCGGAAUUACUGGGCGUAAAGCGUGCGCAGGCGGUUUCUUAAGUCAGAUGUGAAAGCCCCGGGCUUAACCUGGGAACUGCGUUUGAAACUGGGAGACUUGAGUGUGGCAGAGGGGGGUGGAAUUCCACGUGUAGCAGUGAAAUGCAUAGAUAUGUGGAGGAACACCGAUGGCGAAGGCAGCCCCCUGGGUUAACACUGACGCUCAUGCACGAAAGCGUGGGGAGCAAACAGG
rnacentral:rRNA from 1 species